rnacentral:tRNA from 1 species
UAUAUUAUAGUUUAAAAAAAACAUUAAGUUGCAAACUUAAAAAUAUUCAUUUACUUAGAAUUAUUAUAU